rnacentral:rRNA from 1 species
UACGUAGGGGGCAAGCGUUGUCCGGAUUUAUUGGGCGUAAAGAGCGUGUAGGCGGCUUUACAGGUCCGUUGUGAAAACUCGAGGCUCAACCUCGAGACGUCGGUUGAAACCGCUUGGCUAGAGUCCGGAAGAGGAGAGUGGAAUUCCCGGUGUAGCGGUGGAAUGCGCAGAUAUCAGGAGGAACACCAAUAGCGAAGGCAGCUCGCUGGGACGUUACUGACACUAAGGCGCGAAAGCGUGGGGAGCGAACAGG